rnacentral:rRNA from 1 species
GUGGGUAGUUUGACUGGGGCGGUCUCCUCCUAAAGAGUAACGGAGGAGCACGAAGGUUGGCUAAUCCUGGUCGGACAUCAGGAGGUUAGUGCAAUGGCAUAAGCCAGCUUGACUGCGAGCGUGACGGCGCGAGCAGGUGCGAAAGCAGGUCAUAGUGAUCCGGUGGUUCUGAAUGGAAGGGCCAUCGCUCAACGGAUAAAAGGUACUCCGGGGAUAACAGGCUGAUACCGCCCAAGAGUUCAUAUCGACGGCGGUGUUUGGCACCUCGAUGUCGGCUCAUCACAUCCUGGGGCUGAAGUAGGUCCCAAGGGUAUGGCUGUUCGCCAUUUAAAGUGGUACGCGAGCUGGGUUUAGAACGUCGUGAGACAGUUCGGUCCCUAUCUGCCGUGGGCGCUGGAGAACUGAGGGGGGCUGCUCCUAGUACGAGAGGACCGGAGUGGACGCAUCACUGGUGUUCGGGUUGUCAUGCCAAUGGCACUGCCCGGUAGCUAAAUGCGGAAGAGAUAAGUGCUGAAAGCAUCUAAGCACGAAACUUGCCCCGAGAUGAGUUCUCCCUGAGACUACGAGUCUCCUGAAGGAACGUUGAAGACGACGACGUUGAUAGGCCGGGUGUGUAAGCGCAGCGAUGCGUUGAGCUAACCGGUACUAAUGAACCGUGAGGCUUAACCUUACAACGCCGAAG